rnacentral:rRNA from 1 species
UACGUAGGAUGCAAGCGUUGUCCGGAAUUAUUGGGCGUAAAGAGCGCGCAGGCGGUAUGACAAGUCAGAUGUGAAAGAGGCCGGCUUAACCGGCAAGGGUCAUUUGAAACUGUCAGACUAGAGUGCAGCAGAGGAUAGUGGAAUUCCCGGUGUAGUGGUGAAAUGCGUAGAUAUCAAGAGGAACACCAGUGGCGAAGGCGAGUCCCUGGACAACUUCUGACGCUGAGGCACGAAAGCUAGGGGAGCAAACAGG